GACGAACGCUGGCGGCGUGCUUAACACAUGCAAGUCGAACGGAAAGGCCCUGCUUUUGUGGGGUGCUCGAGUGGCGAACGGGUGAGUAACACGUGAGUAACCUGCCCUUGACUUUGGGAUAACUUCAGGAAACUGGGGCUAAUACCGGAUAGGAGCUCCUGCUGCAUGGUGGGGGUUGGAAAGUUUCGGCGGUUGGGGAUGGACUCGCGGCUUAUCAGCUUGUUGGUGGGGUAGUGGCUUACCAAGGCUUUGACGGGUAGCCGGCCUGAGAGGGUGACCGGCCAAAUGGGGAAGGGUAUCCGGCCCAGACCCCUACGGGGGGGAGGGGGGGGGAAUUUGGCACAAGGGGCGGAAGCCUGGUGCACCAACGCCGGGGGCGGGAUGAGGGCCUUGGGGUUGGAAACCGUUUUCGCCUGGGAAGAAGGGGGAGGGACGGUAAUGGGUAAAGAAGCCGCGGCAAACUGCGU
rnacentral:rRNA from 1 species